UACAGAGGUCUCAAGCGUUGUUCGGAUUCAUUGGGCGUAAAGGGUGCGUAGGUGGCGCUGUAAGUCGGGUGUGAAAUUUCGGAGCUUAACUCCGAAACUGCAUUCGAUACUGCGGUGCUUGAGGACUGGAGAGGAGACUGGAAUUCAUGGUGUAGCAGUGAAAUGCGUAGAGAUCAUGAGGAAGACCUGUGGCGAAGGCGGCCCCCUGGUUGGAUACUGACGCUGAUACGCGAAAGCGUGGGGAGCAAACAGG
rnacentral:rRNA from 1 species